GUGUGUGGAUCAAGAUGAGAUUGAUCCUUUUAGAUUAUAGGAGCUGAUAUAUCAUUGUAUUUCAAUUUAGUAAAAUCUUGAUCAGGAUAAUUCAUGAGAUAGAUUUGAAAGGUUGAAAUACAAUAUGGAUGGAGUACUCCAGAUUGACAGUUAACCUAAGAUCAUCCUGGAGUAUUCAGGAUCAAAGGAAUGAAUUAUGCGAUAACC
rnacentral:lncRNA from 1 species